rnacentral:rRNA from 1 species
UACGGAGGGCGCAAGCGUUGUUCGGAAUCACUGGGCGUAAAGCGCGUGUAGGCGGCUUGGCAAGUCGGGUGUGAAAUCCCGAGGCUCAACCUCGGAACUGCACUCGAAACUGCCUGGCUUGAGUCCCGGAGAGGGUGGCGGAAUUCCCGGUGUAGGGGUGAAAUCCGUAGAUAUCGGGAGGAACACCAGUGGCGAAAGCGGCUACCUGGCCCAUUCUUGACGCUGAGGCGCGAAAGCUAGGGGAGCAAACGGG